rnacentral:lncRNA from 1 species
GAGGCUCAGAGAAAGGUAGAUCCCAUUCCGAGUCAGUGGUGAAGCCGACACGGAAACCGGGUGCCCUACUUAGUCUGUAGGUGGGAGAGGUGCAGAGAACGUUCACUUUCCAGCCUAGGGUGGGCGGGGGAGGGUCUGUCCCUAGCCCGCAUGGAUGGGGAGGAUUUGGUGGAGAGGAGGCGCCCUCCUCACCAUCGCCCGGCCUCCCGGGCCACCCUUCGGAUGUCCCCUCCCUUCCUUCACCGACUGUCUCUCGCAGCAGCCCAGACACGUUUCGGACCGGGACCCACGCACAGGCCCCUCCCCGGUCUUGGAAGGCCCUUCCUCUGAGAACAAAGAGAUGUUGGGCCAGAUCAUCUUCCACGCUUCUUCAGCUCCGAGAUAGGAACGCGGUCCCCCACCACUCACAGGCCGGCUGCUCCUCACCCAUCCGGUCUCACUGGGACGCCACGUUCCUCAGGGAAGCCAGUCGGGAACGUUUUUUUUGUUUGUUUGUUUGUUUUUGAGACGGAGUUCUAUGUUAUCCAGGCUGGUGUCGAACUCCUGGGCUCAAGCGAUCCUCCCAACUCGGCCUCCAAAAGUUUACAGGCGUGAGCCACGGUGCCCAGCCUCCUGUGCCUUUUAAUUCACUGAUGCAAUUGUUGAUCCAGCCCUGUCAGCCCCGAGGGUAGGGUCUGAGGUUGCUGCUGUAUCCCUGGCACUCAGUGGAGGCUUGGCCCAAAGAAAGAGGUUUUUUUGUUUUUUUUUUUUUUUCCCAAGACGGGAGUCUCACUCUGUCACCCAGGCUGGAGUGCAGUGGCAUGAUCUCAGCUCACUGCAACCUCUGCCUCCUGGGUUCAAGCGAUUCUUCUGCCUCAGCCUACCGAGUAGCUGGGAUUACAGGCACGUGUCAACACGCCCAGCUAAUUUUUGUAUUUUUAGUAGAGAUGGGUUUUCACCAUGUUGGCUAGGUUGGUCUCAAACUCCUGACCUCAGGUGAUCCACCCACCUCAGCCUCCGAAAGUGCCUGGAUUACAGGCGUAAGCCACUGCGCUCGGCCCAAAUUUUCUCCCCAGGAAUCUGGAACGAUGAAGGUGAUGAUUGUGCCUGUGGCCAAGACCGGGAGAACCCUGGAUCCCUACACCUUCCCCACCCCUGGAAUGUCACUAUACAUAUCUGACUUCUUCUGAUGUUGCCUUUGACCCUAAAGUCAAUAUGAUAAAGUAACAAGAAGCUGGGACAGAGGAACAAACACAGCCCACUCAAGCAGUGGUGGCAACAUUCUGUUAGAAAGGAGGGGAGUCAAAGAAAAAAACACCCCUCCGCCCAUCUCCUUAUCACCUCCCUAAA